rnacentral:tRNA from 1 species
UGAUAUGAAGCGAUUAAUUGCAGUUAGUUUCGACCUAACCUUAGGUAAUUUUACCCUU